GACGAACGCUGGCGGCGUGGAUUAGGCAUGCAAGUCGGACGGUAGGGCUUUAUCGUAAGAUAGAGUUUGAGAGUGGCGAACGGGUGAGUAACACGUAGGAAUCUACCCUUAAGACGGGGACAACCCAGGGAAACUUGGGCUAAUACCGGAUGAGAGUGCGAGAGAUUGCAUUUAAAAGGAUGGCGAAAGUUGUCGCUUAGGGAUGAGCCUGCGGUCUAUUAGUUAGUUGGUGAGGUAAGAGCUCACCAAGGCGAUGAUAGAUAGGCGGCCUUAACGGGUGGUCGCCCACACUGGGAUUGAGACACGGACCAGACUCCUACGGGAGGCAGCAGUGAGGAAUAUUGGUCAAUGGGCGCAAGCCUGAACCAGCCAUGCCGCGUGAAGGAAUAAGGCCCUAAUGGGUUGUAAACUUCUUUUGUAAAGGGGCGAAACCUCCCGAACGUGUUCGGGACUGACAGUACCUUACGAAUAAGCAACGGCUAAACUCCGUGCCAGCAGCCGCGGUAAAACUACUCGUAA
rnacentral:rRNA from 1 species